ensembl:rRNA 5S_rRNA 5S ribosomal RNA
GUCUCAGGCCGUAUCAGCCUGAAGGCGCCCGAUCUCAUCUGAUCUCGGAAGCUAAGCAGGGUCGGGCCUGGUUAGGAUCUUGGAUGGGAGACCACCUGGGAAUCCCGGGUGCUCGAGGCU